rnacentral:RNase_MRP_RNA from 1 species
UUUUCGGUCAGGCUCCGGCCUGCGGCGUGUUCACAGCGAAAUCUCCCGCUGGGGAAAGUCCCCGGGCAACGCGGCGGAGAGCGCCAGCCCGGAAGGGUCGGACCCCCGCGAGCAGCGCGGCACACCCGGGCGGAGAAGCCCUCGUGGCUGAGCCCUGCCGCGCGCCGCGGGGCAGCUCGCCACAGCACAGUUAUGUGGCCAGUGGGGAGGCAACCCACGAACAGAACGGGGCUCACUCUCGUA